UUAAUGCGUAGUCACCGAAGAAAAGUGUUAGUUACCAGGGCCUGCCCUUUUAAAAUUAAAUUUAAAUUGAAAAAAAAAAUCACCAAAAAAUCGAAAUCUCUGGCAAGAUGUAGCGUCGAAAGAAAAUUCAUCAAACGGCAUUGCCAUCAUCGUGCAGCAAUCCCAAAGAAGCCAUUUAGAAUGCAGGCAUCCAGGCAAAAACCAGAAAACGUGCCUGUGGCAGCUGCACUUCGUGGCCUUGACGAGUCCGGACAAUAGAAAAACCCUGGGAACCUAACCCAAAUGGCUUAUAGGGGUUGGACUGGACUCAGGUAGGCGAAGUCCCCGAAAACCGAGGCUACAUUCUUGCCACCGCUGCUAAAUCGAUCAUCAGUCUUUGGCGGCAUGGCUAAGUGGAAACUUCUCGUGAAAUUAGCUAGAGUGUGUACUGCUACUGAUAGGGUGACCUAACGCAACAGCAACGAGAUGUGCUCCAUCGGGCAGUGAUAACUUCUUGGCAACCCCAACCUUAAAAAUUCGACUUCAAUUCAAUACAUGUGACCAGAUAAACACAGCUUCAAGCGCAUUACUCGCUCCAUAGAUUCAUUAAACCUUAAUGAACACAAGAAACACUCAAAAAGUAAGAGAUUCUUCGCCUGAGCUGCAAUUCUUAAGGGUGGCGUCUUCGAGGCAUCGAAGACGCGGCUAUCCGAAGUAGCGAAAGUGGUGCGAGUGGUGCAACUUGUGACACUGCCAGCGGAGUGGAUGAGCCCCAUAUAAACUGAACCUUGCAGACCUACAAAGACCCUAUGGCCCAUAAAGCCGGACAGGGUUUUCCUGUCCGAAAAGUAAUGUAACGAAAACGCUUGAGAUGGAAAAUUCUGGCCGGAACGAAAGAGACAAAUGAACCCAAAGCGUCCGCUUGUCGCCACUUGCGUUUCGAGAAGACGCGUACGCAUACCUCUAUCGGAUGCAUGUGGCGGUACGCGGAUGCGAGCGAGACAAUGAUACUGUAGACAAGGAGAGACGGCUCCCUCUCUCCAUCACUCUCUAUCGGGCUGGCCAGGCGUUUGCAUCGCAAGCGGGUGAGUGAGACGGCCAUAGGGCGGACUGCAAGUCCCGAAAGAGAGCGGUAAAGCCAUAUAACCCCUAUAAGCAAUAAACGACGCAUCGAAAGUUGCGUAUAACGGCAUGGGCAUCCCUCGGAAAGGAAAAAGUUCAGACCGCACUCACGAAUACCGCUCCGCUCUGGAAAGACCGGCCAAAUCUGUAAGAAAUGCUCGGCCAGGAGCGUAGAAUCGCCAUAAUGCAGUAAACGACUGCAAAAGCAGCUAUAACUCAAACAGAAGUUGACAAAAGCAAGAGCUAUGCGCUCUAUUAAAGUCACAAUAAGUGUCAUCGUAACGUUCACCACUUUUCACAUUUCAUCAAAGUCCAUUUCUGGUCCGUGCAAAGCAGUAAUGUAGAGAUUCUUUUUCAUUUGAAAUUGUUAGUUAUCACUGCCCUAGGAACUCAUCAAUUUUUGUGAUAGUAGUGACUGAAGUAUUUGUUUUGAGGGAAUUAGAAGCCAGAAGAUUUAGGAGCCAUGCCGCCGCUUAAGUAAGAUCUAAAAGCCAAGAAGCUACACCCAGAAGAAACUGCCACUGCAUAGAUUUUUGAAAUGAGCAAAGAAAUCUAAACUGAAAUGGUUAUCCACCAACUGAAGGCCAUCGAAUCUAUUAAGUUUUAUCCACGUUAGCACUGUUCAAAAUCUCAAGCUAGGCUACUAAACGAACUAUUCAUCACAAAAGCCUCACACAAAAUAUUCAUUCAUGAAUCAGUCUAGCCUAUUUUUUCUUCUGCUUUACCAUUUGAACAAGUACUCAGAAAUCGCUCGAAAAGGGACAUUUUGAUUUUGCUUUGAUUUUGUGCCUUAGUUUUUCAACUAACCAAAAUAUUGCUUACAGAAAUUAAUCAGUUUAUUAACUGAAAAAGCCCUUAAAUUAACUGCCAGGAGGUGAGUUUUUGUCUUCGAUUCUUGGAAAACGUUGAGUAGGGGCCCAACUAAAGGAAAUAGGCCAGACAAAGCCUGUAAAAAAAACCUAUAAAAAUAAAAAGUUCUAAAAGAGGCCACUGUGAAACUGUUAUACAAGCUGGCCUAAAGUUAUGCGUAGAAGAAAACGUAUAAAAGUGAAUAAAUGUUUGCAAACGGAUGUUUAAAACAUGCGUUUUCUAAACGAAAGAUGAAAAAUAAUAUCAAAAAGCGAAUUAAGUGCUGUUCAAUCGUUUGACCAGCAGUUGAUUUGCGAAUGGCUGAAAAUAUUCGCUUAAACUUAUGGCAAAGCUUGUUAAAAUAAAAAAUAAAAAAUUUUAAAAGAAAUAAAAAUAUCCUUACACCGGGCACCUACAAUGCGUAUCCACCCGGGAUUCAAGCAAAAGCUAUUAUUCUAUUGGCCUUGAUUAUUAACAUAUUUCUAUGCUGUGUGUUCUUUCAGAUGAGUUUUGAACAGAGACGAAACUUGGAGCCUCGCGGAGCCAAAGUUUUAAAUUGAUUUUUGUUUUUAAUUCCCUAUAUUCGAGUCGAUUUCCCGCAGUCUUUUCAUUAAUUUUCUUAAACAUUGACUGGCUAAUUCUUGAACCUCAGUUUUCAUUCAAAAGUCAUCUUUUCUUCGUUGGUCCCUGCUUGAGCUUGAAACAUUGUGCCAAGAAUUUUUUUCUGUUCAAUUGAACCUUUUCUGUGCAAAUGUCCUGCAGAAGAGGAAACCCAUUACAGACUUGUGCUUUCUCCUGAAUGUGAUAUGCAAGCAGGUGUAACAAAGCCUAUGAAAUCCGGUCCAACCCCACAUCAGGCCAUAGCCAAGAAGCUCCGCCUAAUACAAGAGAAGAUUAUACUAACCAGUUUGCUAUCUUUCAGAUCCGACCAGAAGUAGAUCGUGUUCUGUGAACUAACCCCUUCAGUGUUCAGCACCUCGUCAAUUGUUCUUAAUUGUUCCUUUUAUUUUAUGUUGUGUUUUAUCUAAUUAACUUCCGUUGUAUUUUACCCAGUCCCCUUCCUUGACUUUCUAAUAAUUUUCCAUGUUUUGACAGAUCCUUUUUUGUCCCACCCGAAUAACCAACCAUACUAUUCUUAUAUAAGGUUCGUGUUUCGGAAAACGCAUUAAAAGGCGUAAUUUUAAAUCGUUUUCCGAAAUGGGAAUCACAUUUAAACAAUAUUUUGAACUGCGUAAAACGAAUAAAUGGAACGGUAUUGAAAGCCUAUGCAUUCAUUACGGUUCAAGAAGUAUAACUAAAAAAAAGGAAUGAAAAAAAAAGAAAAGAAAAACACAUUUACUAACAAAUAAAAACUUGCUGAUCAACGUUCUACGCAGUUCUUAAAAAGAUGUUGAAAUGAACACAGCCAAAGCAAGUAAAAAUGUGUGGAAACGUUAUACGAAUCUUCACCAAGUGCCCAAACUAUAAAAAGAAAAUUGAAAUCGUUAUACGCCUGAGCCGAUUCACAAAG
rnacentral:lncRNA from 1 species